UCCCCACAGCUCUACAUCAAGUAGAGCUUUUUUUUUCAGAUUUUUAUUUAUUGUGGUUUGUGCACACAUCCUGUUUGUUGAAAUGACUAGCUGCGAACUCUUAUGCAAAUUGCACUGUAGGUUAGAUUGGAGGAUUACUCAUUUCAUUCAAGGAGUUCUUUGUUGUUCAUGGAUUCAGGUUUUGGCCAAGAAAAUCUGUAGAGCCACAUAAUGGUACACAUUCGGUGAAUAAUGGAGGAAAAAUUUGAAUUUCUUCAUAUCUUUUGGUAUGAUAGGAGUUUUUUUUACCAUUGUUUGGAUUAUCAGGUAUUUGCUCUCCUCUUCUCUUCAGAUUGUUAGGAAUGGCUGCCCUCUUUUACUUAUUGUGUUCCAUUGAUGGUAAUCUAUAUCUGAAGAGUUAUGGUGUAUGCGCCUGGAUAGGGCAUCAAUAAGUUCGUCUCCCAGUACUCAUUUGAUGUUUCACUUUAGGGGUAACAAUAAAAAUGGGUGAUCCUAUGGCCCUCCAACAAAUGCUAUUCGUUAGUGUGGUUACUUUUUUUUUCUGGGAUCAGUUAAAGGUUACUGUCUUGCUACCAAACUACUUGAGCGCGGAAUUGUGUUUCUUCAUGAGUGUGCGACGACUUCUCAUGCUGAUCAAAUAUUAAGGUGGAACCCAUGUUUAAGAAUAUUGCCGAACAUGGCCUAAAGUGCGGUCAUACUUAGCCUAAAUUUUAGACAACAGUUGCUAUGUUUUCUUCAGCUGUGUUUUCAAAUCUGUGGGAGUAAUAAAUAAGUUGUUUUAGCUUUGUGAAUUGCGAUUAGUGCGGUCAUACUUAGCCUAAAUUUUAGACAACAGUUGCUAUGUUUUAUUCAGCUAUGUUUUCAAAUCUCUGGGAGUAAUAAAUAAGUUGUUUUAGCUUUGUGAAUUGCGAUUAGAUGUUUGUAAAACAUUGGACUGUGGAUUUUGCGCUGACCAUUACUUUUCAUAUUUUUUAUGUCAGAGAAAGUUUAAUGUUUUUCUUCAUCCAAAUUUAUAGACCUGCUUAUCUGACAAUUGAACUUAUGCCUUUCCGACAAAUAUAUAAGUUAGUAACUGGGACAUGUUUCAAUAUCUAGGAUUCUGAUUAUCUCAAACAUGAUUCAUUUCUGUAUGUGGUUGCAUUUCUCCCCUGUUACAAUUAUUGGAUUGAGCAUAGAUGACUGCUACAUAUCUAGGGAAAAUAAUUGUUUGACGAGUUAGUGCACACGUGUUUUCCCCUUUAUCUCCUCCAAUUAUUUAUUGGAAUUUUUCACAAACCAACAGAGAAGAACAUUAUUGGCAAUUCACAAGAGAGAAACUAUAAAUUGAUAAUAUUGUUUAAAAGAAAUUUGCAAGAGAUUUAUCUACACUAUCAAGACCCUUUUAUUGUUUCAAAAGGCGAGUGAAGAAGGUUGUUAUUGCUUUACAAUGGUUUAUGAUCUUACCUUAAGGCCAUUCUAUACCUGUAGUGUACAUCUAGGAAACUAUUGUGUGUCUCAAAAUGAAUUAUUUUGGUUAGAGCUGAUCUAUAUUCUCUGUUUUUCAACUGGCCUAAUCUAGCUUACUGGUUAGGAAGUAAAACUUAGACACAAGGUAGCGACAUGGGGUGAGCAAGUAAGGUCGUGUCAGGGAUAAUACUGUUAUCAGAUUCAGUGGCCAGGGGAAAGACAAUACAAAAAAAUAUCUGUCAAUCUAGCAGAAGAUGGACAUAACAGAAUACAUGCGCAUACAUAGGAGAGUAUUCAUUAACAAGAAUGAAGAUUUAUUGUUGAAUUAUUACAGCAGCGUCAUCAAUGAGUUAAUAUACUACAUUAGUUCUAUUAUGCAUGUGUGUUCCUUUUACAUGACAUAAUUUACAUUAGCAUCUGUAUGCCUUCGAAAUGAGCAUGAGCCCUACCCGAACAUAAUAGAUACUAAAAUAGUUAUGCAAGCUGUGAACAUAUUUAGUUGAUUGCUUUCUGAUGUUACUGUAGAUUAAUUACCUGGCAGUCAUUUAAAUCAUUUUUGCACACAGAUAAUUAGAAAUUAUACUAUAUCACUAUGUUGUACUCUAACGAAAGCUGGGAUACACCACUUGUGUAUUAGUUUCUCAUGAUCCAACCAUUUCUGCCUCUUUCGCAUAGUGAUUUGACUUCUAAACUAGAAACCAUGUAUUUUGAUGCCAGUCCUGCAGCUCCAGGUGUAUCACUUACUACCACCACAUGCUUGCCUUUAUUGCACCCAUUGCCUCUUAGCUAGGCUGAUGAAGUUUCUUUUUUCCUUUUAUGCCGUUGAUUCGUGUUAUUUUUCGUGCUCUAAGAGGCCUUGGUGACAUAUAAAAAAGCCUUCACAUGCAGAUUUGUUAGUUCGUGUGUUCAAGUACAUGGGUUCAAGAGAGAGACAAUAAAUAAAAUAAGCUUCAACCAUAUCAAGAAUGAGUUCUACCUGAAGCAUUCAUAGAAUGAUCUUUGUUUUCUUUGGUAUAGCAACGCUUUCCGAGAUAUAAUUCAGUGUUCUCAUUACCAUCCUCUAUUAUAAUUAGGGUGGAAGCUAUCCUCAAUUUAUCUUGACAUUUUGAAUACAUAGGGGGAAUCAAUGAUAGUGAAAACUGUAUUGGUGCUUGGUUUAGAUCACGAUAUCCAUACAUAACAUGAUUACAGUUUAAGCGUAGCUUUUGCUUUCAAGAUAGUUGACAUGCGGCCUUGCCAAAGCCCGGGCAGUUAUAUGUUACUGUUUCGAGAGUGACAUCUAGGGAAGGCUUGAGAAUACUUGCACUCAUGAUUUUGGAGUUCUGACCAUGGAAAGAAGGAAUAUAAUACACAGAGAAGUCAUUAUUUAUCUCUAGGUAUGCUAGCUCACAUGUACUUUCCUUUGCAUGGAUAUUGAUACUCUCAUGCUAUUUAUGCAUGCAUCCUGUAAAUUAUGUUGAUAAUGUUUGCUUUCACGGUUUAUUUCUACCUGACUUCGCUCUCUACUGGAGACAUCAAGUUUCCUCCUCAUUUUUAUGUUGAAUUUUUCAGUUGCUAAAGACUUAAGGUUGCCGACCCUGAAGAUAACCCAGCUAAAUUCAGGUGUUUGGGGCUGCAGAUAUUCGGCGCCCAUCCUACCUAGAAAAGCUGAUGCAUUUCCAAGAAAAAGAGUUCGGAUAAUAGUGUAGUUAUAUUGUAUGUAAUUUUGAUUAGCAGUUACUGUAUUACUCUGCACUUAAUUGUUUCUGUUGUCA